AAGAAUUGUGGUCAUAGAUGACGCAUUAUAGACAACAUGCAAUGAAAAAUGUCGUCUAUAUGUCAAUAGAUGACACGUUUCGUCUUGCAUGUUGUCUAUAACCGAGAAUUUACACGACAUACGUCAAAAAAUGUUGUCUAUUAUAUGAAUAGACGACGUUAGAUGGACCGCGUCGUCUAUAAUUUGCGGUCAUAGACGAUGCGCCAUCUGCAUGUUGUCUAUUCAUAUAAUAGACGACGCAAUAGACGACGUGCUUGAGCACUGUGUCGUCUAUGUGCAUGGUGAUGCGGUAAUAGACGACAUGCUACGAAGGAUGUCGUCUUUAAUGAAAUAGACGACACGCAUAAUGCACGUCGUGAAUCUGAAAAAUCAAAUUAGGGAUUAGCUUCUUUCCCACUCUCUCGCGCGCCGCUCUCUGAAAAUUUUGGGGCUCUUCUCGUGAGUCUCUGAAAUUUCAAUCCGACGCACCACCGUCCGUCGCACCCACCGGCGCUUCACCCAUCGCAACACCCCACGCCUCACCCCCCUCGUUGAUCGAUUUUGCCGCCCACCUCCACCUCGGCGAAUGGAUUAGGAGAUGCCCUAGCCGCCGCUGUUAAGAGCCACCACCGGAGAGGGGUCGACGUCGCGAAGCCCUUGCCGCCACUCUACCUUCGCCUCGACGAUAUUCUGCCGUCCAUCUCCGCCCCAGAGACGUCCUUAAGCCGCCGGAUUUUAUUCGGAGGGCUGAGCUCCAAGUUUCACCAUUGACGUCUGCACUCUCCGGCCCGCUCAAGCUCGCCCUUCUCCAUUCUUCUCCAAUUUUUGAUCGAUUAUUCCACUCGCCCCGCUCAAGCUUCACUCCGGUGUUGGUGUUUUGUUAAAUUGUGGGAGGAAUUUCAGAAAGUGUUUAUUCAUCCAUUUGGAAGAGAAUCGACAAGAAAGGGAUAAGCUUCAACGGUAAUCAAAAUGGAUAAAGGUUGGAUGUCCAAAAAUAGAUUAUCAAACGAGUACGAAGUAGGGGUGGAGUCUUUCUUGCAGUUUGCCGUUAAAAAUGGGAAAAAUCCCAAUGCUAUGCCUUGUCCUUGUGUCAAGUGUGGCAAUCUACGCGAGAAGGAUGUCAAAACCAUAAGAGCACAUCUCACAUAUAAUGGCAUGGAUUUAACAUACGUUAGUUGGAUUUAUCAUGGGGAGAGAAGUAGACCUAACACAAGCAAUAAAGAAGAAGAAGAGAGCAGUGUGGGUCAUGAUUUUUAUUCGGAUGAGCCAGUAGACAUGGUGCAUGAUGCAUAUGUUGACAAUCCAACUCAUUUUCAUAGACUGCUCGAGGAAGCUGAAAUGCCAUUAUAUUUUGGAUGUGAUGGUUUCACGAAGUUAUCUGCAACAGUUAAGUUGUACAAUUUGAAGGCAAAAUACGGAUGGAGCGAUACUUCAUUUACGGACCUACUUAUGUUGAUAGGAGAAAUGCUUCCGAAGGAUAAUGUAUUGCCUUCAUCUCUGUAUGAGGCAAAAAAAAGCUUAUCCACGUUAGGGAUGAAAUAUGAAAAGAUUCAUGCUUGCCCUGAAGAUUGUAUUUUGUAUCGAAAUGAAUAUGCAAAUUUGGUGAAUUGCCCUACAUGUGGAAAGUCAAGGUGGAAGGUGCUUAAAAAUGACAAGAUUAAUGAAGGGGUU